GAUGAACGCUGGCGGCGUGCCUAAUACAUGCAAGUCGAGCGAACAGACGAGGAGCUUGCUCCUCUGACGUUAGCGGCGGACGGGUGAGUAACACGUGGAUAACCUACCUAUAAGACUGGGAUAACUUCGGGAAACCGGAGCUAAUACCGGAUAAUAUAUUGAACCGCAUGGUUCAAUAGUGAAAGACGGUUUUGCUGUCACUUAUAGAUGGAUCCGCGCCGCAUUAGCUAGUUGGUAAGGUAACGGCUUACCAAGGCAACGAUGCGUAGCCGACCUGAGAGGGUGAUCGCCCACACUAGAACUGAGACACGGUCCAGACUCCUACGGGAGGCAGCAGUAGGGAAUCUUCCGCAAUGGGCGAAAGCCUGACGGAGCAACGCCGCGUGAGUGAUGAAGGUCUUCGGAUCGUAAAACUCUGUUAUUAGGGAAGAACAAAUGUGUAAGUAACUAUGCACGUCUUGACGGUACCUAAUCAGAAAGCCACGGCUAACUACGUG
rnacentral:rRNA from 1 species